GGAAGCUUGCGAACAGGGCGCGAGCAUAUGUCAAAACAUAGAGGAGGGUAGAGAAACUUGGUGGAAUGUUUUAGAAAUCACUGCACUGGCGAACAAUAAAGUAAAAUGUAGAAGCAUUCAGAGAGAAACAAAGAAUAUCGAUUGCUAGCUACCUAGUUUUUGUGUUUUUUAAAUUUUGGCGCAAUUAGAAUCUGAAAUCCUCAAAAAUGGAGGAGAUAAGAAGACAGAAUAAUUGGGUAAUUGGUGUGGCUUCCGCAUUAUGCGUUCAUUGCUCUGAUCUUUGCCUUAAUUCUUUCUAAAUCGAUUGCCAUCUUUUUCUUUCAGAGGCGACAAUUUGCGAAUUACCCGUUAUUUGGGUCGCAGUUUCGUGGCGGAAGCUGUAGGAGAGGCUCAAAUGUUGCCAGAGGUUGAAUAUUUAGAAGAGGAGCGAAUGCUUCGAAAAACUGUGCGCGAAGAAACGUGUAGGAAAUGAGGGCUUCGAACUUAAAACCCUAGAAAGCAAAGGUUUGGAAAUUGAAACCCCAAUAGACAUGGAUUGAGAGUUUCAAGCUCUGGAAAAGGGCGAGAAAAUGAAGGUUCUGGAGGUUCAAACCCUAGAAAAAGAAGUAACACCCUGAGCAGCAAGGGUUUGGAUGUUCAAACCCCUGGAAAAGACUGUAAAACUUCAAGUUCUGGAAGAGGGCGAGAAAAUGAAGGUUCUUGGGGAUCGAAGCCUAGAAAAAGAAGUUAACGCCCUGAGAAGCAAGGGUUUGGAUGUUCAAACCCUUGUAAAAGAUGCUAAAACUUCAAGGUCUGGAAGAGGGCGAGAAAAUGAAGGUUCUGGAGGUUCAAACUCUAAGAAAAGAAGUUAAACUCAAACCCUUGGAAAAGACGGUAAAACUCUAAAAGGGAGGUCCAAACCCUAGAAAAAGAAGUUAAAUCUUGAGAAGCAAGAGUUUGGAUCUUCUAACGCUGGGAGAACAUCAUAAAAACUCUAAUAAGGGAGGUCCAAACCCUAGAAACAUAAGUUAAAUCUUGGGAAGCAAGAGUUUAGAUCUUCUAACCCCGGGAGAAUAUCAUAGAACUUGUAAGGCAAGGGUUGGGGUUUAAACCCUUGAGAGUGAGGGCUUAGAUGGGACACUCGGAACGGGAAGUAAAGCCGUAGCAAGUGAGGAUUUGGGGGAUGAAUGUGGAACUCGGAGGCUGCAUGAUGAGAGCCAUUUGUUGACAGGGUUUGGAGAGUAUGGACUUGGUUUGGGGGAUGAAUAUGAAACUGGGAGGCUUCAUGAUGAGAGUCCUUUAUUGACAGGGUUUGGAGAUCAUGGAAUUGGAAGGAAGCUUUUACUAUGCUUGGUCAAUCUGCAGAGAGUAUUUCGAAUGAUGUGCAGUUGCAGUUUUAUGGACUUUGUAAGUUCGGUACGGAGGGGCUAUGUACCGUUUUCGCAGACUCCACCUCUUAAGAUCACUGCCAGUGUUAAAUGGGAUUUAUUGGUAUUUGCGGGCCCUUAAUUUAUUUAAAAUUUUUGUCUUUAAAAUCAUUUCCGAUGGCAUUCCCCUGAUUUUUCUAUGCCUGUUACAACUUAUGUAUUGUGUAUUCCUUAACCAGUCAAUUAUGAAACUGGCAAUAUUUAUUAGUUUUGGUGGCUGUGGACUGUGGACCGAAAAAUUAGGGCCUCUACUGUGCACCGCCUUUUUAUAUGGUCUCUUCUUCCCAACUGAACACAUAGGUGGAAUUCAGAGACAAGAAUGAAGCUGAAAACACUGAGAAGCUGAGGAUAAUUUAGUUUCUUUGAUCGGGUCGUAACAGAGCACAAUCUCCCUAGAAGAUCUAUAUGGAAGAAAUGUUGGAACAUAUCCAAGCUUAAAUCAAAAUGGAACGCAUCCACCAGAGCUAGUCGAUCUGUCAGACCUUGCGGGACUAGAUUUCCAGACAAUUAUCUUAGCAGUUCAAUAUCUAAAGAAUUUGGUUUCCUGCCUGUCUGGAUAAAUUUAUCUAUGUCAGGAAGUCUCUUGUCUGGCCCUAAUCCAAAGGAACUUGGAAAUCUUGCACGCUUGGUUGAAUUGAGGCCCUUAUUCGAACAAUUCUGAUGGGACGCUCCUCCAAGAGAUUGGGAAACUGACAUUACUAUGAAUUUGUAUUUAUCUUUUAAUUCCUUUGGAGAGAACAUUUUUCAACCUACGGAAUCAGAUAGAAUUGUAAGUAUCCAUGUUCCUUGAUUUAUAUGUCAUAAUUGCAAAUAAAUUAUAAGUUAAAAUUGUUAAUCACAGAAAUGGUUUCAAGCACAUAAAUAUAAUUUUUCUUUUAUAGUGGAUACAGUUUUGCAUCUAGCAAUGGUUUUGCGGUCACCUUGUGCCUGACGUGGAUGAGUUAGGAGUAAUAAGUUAAGGAGUUAGUAGUUAGAGACCUAUUUUGAAUUUCAUGUUUACAUGUAAAGCUUGUAUAAGUUUGUAGCAGCCUGUGAGGCAAUUAGUAAUUUGCAUAUAGUAGGCAAUUAAGGAGUUUGCAAUCAUUUUGUUAUUUGAAUUAAUAAGAAUCUCUAUUUUCUUCAUGAUAUUUUUUGUUGUGUUAACUCUAGGUUGCACAGUUGGACAAUUGUCCUUUGACCCUCUGUUCAUGACUACAUCAAGUUGUAUUAGAGUGAGUUUCGAAUCCUAGAGAAUGAGAAGCAUUUUGAAAGAUACUAGGGUGAAUAGAUCGUUGACUUGAGGCAACUUGCAAGUGUUUCUCAAUAGAGCAUUGAGCAUCGAUUGUGAGACAAUUGCUACCUUAUAGCUAGAUUGUCAACUUGAGGUAGUUGCACCGGAUUUGAAGGAAAGAUGCAACCAAAGGAAAUGCUUGAUAUGGCAAAUGUUGCUGGUAAAAGAUAGGUAGAGAGGCCUAACACUAGGCACGUGGAGAGGUCUAAAACCUAGACUUUUGGAUAAGAGUGAUGGUGAUGAACCAUAAACUCACUAUUAGAAUGAGGAAACCUUAGAAGAGUAGUCCGACCAAAUCAAAAUGCUGAAAGCCAUAUCCAAAAUUAGUAAGAGGCUUGGAAAUUAAAUUUUUUCUAAUUAUGCCGGUAUUUUGAGUCUUGAAGAAUUGAUUAAUUGUAUAAGUGAUAUGGAAGAAUAUUUUGAGUAUGAGGAAAUUGAUGAUCUAGAUAGGGUUGGAUAUGCUAAAACUAAGAGGAAGGGUCAUAUUUCUAUUUGGUAGAGAGAAGUCCAAUUAUAUAGAAAUAGAAGAGGAAAAUUGUAGGGACUCAAAUCAAGACGCUUAGUUGUAAUUUGGCUGUCCUUUCCUUGGAUUACCCAAGAGGAAGAGGAUGUAGAGCAUCAUUGGGUAAGAUGUCCUCAGCUUGUUCUAAUUUGUAAUUUUAAGUCGAGUGCACAUCUUUUGAUGCAACUUAAGUGAACUUAAGUUAUUUUAAGUUGCACACGUCUUUUUAGGCAAUUUUUAAGUGAUGCCUAGCCAAGGGACUUAAGUUGUCCCCUCUUUUAUGUACUUAAGUGACCUAAUUAAAACAUGUGACAAAAGCCAAGGUGGGCCCCAACUUCAAGAGUUCUUAUUGGUGCACAUUUUAGGGUUUUAUUUUGGAGCCUUGGAUUAAGAAGUGGAUUAUCAAGGGUGGAGAUUGAUUCAUCUUUUUAGAAGUUGUUAUAAAAUACCCUAAGGGCUCAUUUUGAGAGCAUUAUGUGAUGAAUUAUUUUGAGUGCUUGACGAGGUAAAACCUUGAGUAUCCCUGUUUUUGGUGUGACACAUGGGCUCACCCUAGACAAAAGAGUGUUUCAGCGGAAUAACCUCAUGUUUGUGAAGCCCUAGCUCACUAUCAUUCAGAGCUGCAAGUAUAUAUAUCAGGUUAGAGGCUAUAAAACAGAUGAAGAUAACAACGAACAAGUUUUAGAUUGGUGAUCAUAUUCAGUCAAUUUUACCCAUUUAUGAUCACUUUGUGGAAUGACUGUCAAGGAGUAGUUGGGCAGAUUGUUUUGCAAUCAUUUUGGAAGCCUAGCGCUGCCAUCUCUGGACGUCUAAGGUUUGGUAAAACCCAAAAAUAAUUCUGAGGUAUUUUUGUGAGUAGAUUUGUUUAUUUAUUUGUCUCUAUCUCAGGAAAAAUUAAAGAGAAAUCAGUCAAAUGCUUUUCUGAAAAUUCUGGGUAGUCAUAAGGGUUUAUGUUGUAAUUUUUGGAACCCAGCAUUAAUAAGAACUCUCUAUCUUUUAGUUUUAAAUCAGUUCUCAGAUCUGAUCAGAAUUUUGGGUUAUGAAAAUAUUUUUAUGCAAAUAAUUUUUUAGAUAUUUUGUGCCCUAGUUUGCAAAAUUUUUUGUCAUUUUUCUAUUACUUGAUAUUAUGCAAGAUUUUUGGAUUAAACUAUGUGAGAACUUUU